GACGAACGCUGGCGGCGUGCCUAACACAUGCAAGUCGAACGAUGAAGCCGGAGCUUGCUCUGGUGAAUUAGUGGCGAACGGGUGAGUAACACGUGAGUAACCUGCCCUUGACUCUGGGAUAACUGCGGGAAACUGUAGCUAAUACCGGAUACGACCCUCGGAGGCAUCUCCUGGGGGUGGAAAGAAUUUCGGUCAAGGAUGGACUCGCGGCCUAUCAGCUAGUUGGUGAGGUAAAGGCUCACCAAGGCGACGACGGGUAGCCGGCCUGAGAGGGUGACCGGCCACACUGGGACUGAGACACGGCCCAGACUCCUACGGGAGGCAGCAGUGGGGAAUAUUGCACAAUGGGCGCAAGCCUGAUGCAGCAACGCCGCGUGAGGGAUGACGGCCUUCGGGUUGUAAACCUCUUUUAGCAGGGAAGAAGCGAAGUGACGGUACCUGCAGAAAAAGCACCGGCUAACUACGUGCCAGCAGCCGCGGUAA
rnacentral:rRNA from 1 species